rnacentral:rRNA from 1 species
CUUCUAAAUUUAUAAUAGAAUUUUAUUUUUUAGUCAAAAAGCUAAAAUAAAUUUAAAAGACGAGAAGACCCUAUAAAUCUUUAUAUUUAGAUAAUUACAAUUUUGUGGAUUUUUUUUGUUGUGAUUGUUGAUAAUAUUUUAUUGGGGUGAUAUUAAAAUUUAAAAAACUUUUAAUUAAUUAAAUCAUUAAUUUAUGAAUAAUUGAUCCGUUAUUAACGAUUAAAAAUUUAAGUUACCUUAGGGAUAACAG